rnacentral:rRNA from 1 species
UACGAAGGGGGCUAGCGUUGCUCGGAAUCACUGGGCGUAAAGCGCACGUAGGCGGAUCGCUAAGUCAGGGGCGAAAUCCUGGAGCUCAACUCCAGAACUGCCUUUGAUACUGGCAAUCUCGAGUCCGGGAGAGGUGAGUGGAACUGCGAGUGUAGAGGUGAAAUUCGUAGAUAUUCGCAAGAACACCAGUGGCGAAGGCGGCUCACUGGCCCGGUACUGACGCUGAGGUGCGAAAGCGUGGGGAGCAAACAGG